UAGGGAAUCUUCCGCAAUGGGCGAAAGCCUGACGGAGCAACGCCGCGUGAGUGAUGAAGGUCUUAGGAUCGUAAAACUCUGUUAUUAGGGAAGAACAAACGUGUAAGUAACUGUGCACGUCUUGACGGUACCUAAUCAGAAAGCCACGGCUAACUACGUGCCAGCAGCCGCGGUAAUACGUAGGUGGCAAGCGUUAUCCGGAAUUAUUGGGCGUAAAGCGCGCGUAGGCGGUUUUUUAAGUCUGAUGUGAAAGCCCACGGCUCAACCGUGGAGGGUCAUUGGAAACUGGAAAACUUGAGUGCAGAAGAGGAAAGUGGAAUUCCAUGUGUAGCGGUGAAGUGCGCAGGGAUAUGGAGGAACACCAGUGGCGAAGGCGACUUUCUGGUCUGUAACUGACGCUGAUGUGCGAAAGCGUGGGGAUCAAACA
rnacentral:rRNA from 1 species